rnacentral:rRNA from 1 species
CGCAUAUACAUGCAGUCGAGCGAACGGACGAGAAGCUUGCUUCUCUGAUGUUAGCGGCGGACGGGUGAGUAACACGUGGAUAACCUACCUAUAAGACUGGGAUAACUUCGGGAAACCGGAGCUAAUACCGGAUAAUAUUUUGAACCGCAUGGUUCAAAAGUGAAAGACGGUCUUGCUGUCACUUAUAGAUGGAUCCGCGCUGCAUUAGCUAGUUGGUAAGGUAACGGCUUACCAAGGCAACGAUGCAUAGCCGACCUGAGAGGGUGAUCGGCCACACUGGAACUGAGACACGGUCCAGACUCCUACGGGAGGCAGCAGUAGGGAAUCUUCCGCAAUGGGCGAAAGCCUGACGGAGCAACGCCGCGUGAGUGAUGAAGGUCUUCGGAUCGUAAAACUCUGUUAUUAGGGAAGAACAUAUGUGUAAGUAACUGUGCACAUCUUGACGGUACCUAAUCAGAAAGCCACGGCUAACUACGUGCCAGCAGCCGCGGUAAUACGUAGGUGGCAAGCGUUAUCCGGAAUUAUUGGGCGUAAAGCGCGCGUAGGCGGUUUUUUAAGUCUGAUGUGAAAGCCCACGGCUCAACCGUGGAGGGUCAUUGGAAACUGGAAAACUUGAGUGCAGAAGAGGAAAGUGGAAUUCCAUGUGUAGCGGUGAAAUGCGCAGAGAUAUGGAGGAACACCAGUGGCGAAAGGCGACUUUCUGGUCUGUAACUGACGCUGAUGUGCGAAAGCGUGGGGAUCAAACAGGAUUAGAUACCCUGGUAGUCCACGCCGUAAACGAUGAGUGCUAAGUGUUAGGGGGUUUCCG